rnacentral:misc_RNA from 1 species
GGAUGUUAUUUUUAGUAUACCAGCAUUUUUAGUAUACCAGCAUUUUUAAGAGUGAUUAUGUGUACCGAUAGAAACAAUCAUUUCUAAAUCCUACUUAAAUAGGAUUUUUAUAUCUCUCAUAUAAACUGAUGUCUAUUAGAUGCCUAAAAAGUAUAUUUCAUAAAAAUGACAUCUUAUAUAUCGAUGAGAAUUAUUGCCAUAAGUUUGCGGUAUUAGGUUAAAUGGAAUAAAAAUUAAGCUGACGAGCUCGUCUUGAAACUCUUAGUAUGAAAGACAACUUGAUAUAGAAAUAAAAUCCAAACGGAUUCAAAUUAAUAAUGAAUAAAUCUCAGAAACUUAUUAUAGGACUUCUAAUAUUAUUAUUAGUUAAUGUUAUUUGGAUGUCUAGCUCCAAACUCACUCAGUACAUUUAUUCAGAAACAGCAUUUAAAAAGCCAUUCUUUAGUACAUACAUAAAUCUAUCAAUGUUAACACUUUAUCUACUGGGAUUAUGUUUUUGGCCUCCAUGGAGAGAUCAGUGCAACAGAUCUUCAACUUAUACAUUUGUAGAUCCCAAUGCAGAAGACGAAAAUUUUUAUUCCGAGGUCAAUAAUACCAGUUUAAGUGAUCCAACGUUUGUUCCAAUAAAAAAAUCAGCACAUUAUGAUCGUUCGUCUGGAACAGAAAGUGAUGAUUCUUCUAUUCGAGCUGUACGAUUUAGUAAAUUAGCCGAAGUCCGGCAUAUGUCUGAAGGUGAUGCUAUUGAAGCGUUAUUAGCAAGGCUCAGUUAUCCAGCCAGCAUUCGUGCUGGGGAACAUGCACGUCGUCAAGCUCACAAAUUUUCUAUUCCAAAAGUCGCUAAAAUUGCUUUGAUAUUUUGCCUUAUUUUAUUUAUGGCCAACUACACUUACCAAAUUUUAUUAGCCCAAAUGGAAACUGGAAAUAUGACUGUGGUGUCAGCGGCAUCCAGUUUAUUCACACUAUUUCUAGCUUCAUUUUUUCCAAGUAGCAGCAAUGACAAAUUUUCCAUAUCAAAAUUAUUGGCCGUAUUAAUUAACAUUUUCGGAAUGGUUUCAAUUAGCCGAUUCAAUAUAACUAUGGAUAUAAAUAGAGAUCCUAAGAUUAUAAUUUUAAGUUUGCUAAGCGCAUUUUUUCAAACAAUUUACGUGGUUUUUUUAAAAAAAAAAGUUGAUUACGAAGACCGAAUGGACAUACCUAUGUUUUUUGGAUUUGUAGGCCUUUUUAAUCUUACUUUGUUAUGGCCAAUUUUUUUCAUUCUUCAUUACGGUCAUUGGGAAGAAUUUGAAUGGCCAAAUAGUCGCCAAUGGACAUUUAUGGUUCUUAAUGGAUUUAUGAGUACAUUAUUAAGUGAAGUUCUAUGGUUAUGGAGCUGCUUUCUGACAUCUUCACUAAUAGGUAUAUUAUCAGGUAGCUUAUUGAUACCCAUGUCGAUGAUAGCUGAUGUACUUCUGAAAAGGGUUCAAUAUCCAUAUAUAUUUUAUUUAAGCAUGAUACCGAUGUUAUUAGGAUUCUUGACCAUAUUCUCGCUUUCUUGUUAUGAAAAUUGGGAUCCAAUAGUGGCUGUUUUGAAACCACUCCACUCUUGGGUGUUGAGAAAAAAUAAAAGUAUAAGUGAGUGUGACGCGAGAAAAAGAGGAGGCCGGCUGUUAAUCCUCAAGUUUUCCACAUCAUAUCCUUGUCAUCCUUCUGCGUGUAGUCUCUUGAGGCAAGACUAAAGCGAAAAAUGAUCAAUUUCAACAUGUAUAAAAUUUUAUUAAUUUAAUUAAAAAUUUCACGAUUUAGAAGC